rnacentral:rRNA from 1 species
GAUGAACGCUGGCGGCGUGCCUAAUACAUGCAAGUCGAGCGAACAGACGAGGAGCUUGCUCCUCUGACGUUAGCGGCGGACGGGUGAGUAACACGUGGAUAACCUACCUAUAAGACUGGGAUAACUUCGGGAAACCGGAGCUAAUACCGGAUAAUAUAUUGAACCGCAUGGUUCAAUAGUGAAAGACGGUUUUGCUGUCCCUUAUAGAUGGAUCCGCGCCGCAUUAGCUAGUUGGUAAGGUAACGGCUUACCAAGGCAACGAUGCGUAGCCGACCUGAGAGGGUGAUCGGCCACACUGGAACUGAGACACGGUCCAGACUCCUACGAGAGGCAGCAGUAGGGAAUCUUCCGCAAUGGGCGAAAGCCUGACGGAGCAACGCCGCGUGAGUGAUGAAGGUCUUCGGAUCGUAAAACUCUGUUAUUAGGGAAGAACAAAUGUGUAAGUAACUAUGCACGGCUUGACGGUACCUAAUCAGAAAGCCACGGCUAACUACGUG